rnacentral:rRNA from 1 species
CCGCCCGUCACAUCGCGAAAGCCAUCUGUACUAGAAGCCGGCAAUUCAACCGCAAGGAGAUAGCCGUCCAAGGUAUGAAUGGUGAUUGGGGUG